rnacentral:piRNA from 1 species
UGCGAUGAGAGCCAUUGCCUGGGCUGCCU